GGAAUCGGCGGUUUGUGAGCCAGGUCCGACAUUCCGCGAAGAAUAAGAGCAGCAACCUCGUUCUCAGCCUUGUGUCCACACUCCUAGGAGCCAUCCAGUCGGAGCAGUGCCUGGAGCGCCUGCUGUGCGAGCUGGGCUGGAGCCUGAGCGAGGUGGAGGCAGCGAGGGUGGUGGUACAGCUGGCGGGCGUGUACGUGCCGCCCGAACACGCCCACCUCCUCGCCGCCCUCAGAGACGCUGUGCUGAGGAUCGCCUCCUGUAGCCAGUAUCGGUGUGGAAAGCUUCCCUCUCGCGAUGAAUUGUAAACCACGAUCCUCAGUCAUCUCGUUGGUCUUUUUUUCUAAUAUUUCCCCCAGACAUGCAUGAUUUUUUUCUGAAAAUCCUUUAACAUGAACAUUUGUAUACUCGUAUUUCCCGGUGUGAAUGUCCUCGAGGCCCAGUGUACAUGUUUCCAUUGGUUUAUAACUUAAAUGUUAUUCGCCAGGCAUUCCUUUUCCUUAAUGCAUAUGAAAUGUUUUAACAUUUUACUUCAUUCACAU